AACUAGAGCUGUGGUUGGUACACUCACUUUUCAGUUAUUGACACAUUUUGAGUACAGCUCCCUGACACAGGUGGUUAGGGUGUAGGUUAAGAUUCAGCAUUUUUUUAAACAUUGCAUGUUCUGUGCAUUUUAAAAUAGGAAAACCAUUUUGUCAUUUAUGAGACCCAGUUCAUUCACUACACAAUUUAUGAAGUCAUGACUGCUUAAAGGGGGCAACAUAAAAACAGCACCUUCUUAUUUUGCUCUGGAUCUUUCUUUACCUCAGAUAUGGAAGGACCUCAAUCUUAUUUUGAAAGUGUGCAUUUUCCUUAAACCUCAAUGUAUUUUUAACCAUUUGCAAAUUCAAGAAAACAUAAUAAACUUAAAACAAUGUUUGCCCUCUUUUAAUAACACUGGUGUUACUAUAGCUCUGACAAACAUGUUGGUCUGGCCCCGCAACAGUCCAUAAUCUCUCUUUCAUACUACUACUUGUGUUCUGCCAAGAGUGCAUCUUAUGGAUAAUCAUUUGAUAGUUAACUAUCUGAACACAUAAUUUAAAACUCGUAAUUAUCUUUAUGCAUGUAGUACUGCCUAAGGAUGGAUCGAACAAUAUUGGAGGUGCAUUUCGCAGCUUACCGAGGGACUCUCAAUUACUUUCAUGGCAGGGCAUGUCCUCCCCCCAGUGAAUGUCGACUUGUUCUUUUCUGCAAGGAAGACUUCAUUCUGGGUGAAUCUAAAGGCUACAUGGAUCGGCAGUUAAGUCGCCGUAUCUUCAGCAACAACAAGCUCUUCCUGGUAUAGAUGAACGAGUAGAACAACCUGUUCAUGCAGCCUGGUGGCAACCUCACCACAGUCUGGAAGAGCUUUAGGGAUGACUUGGGACCUGAGUGCAGAAUUUGAAGCAAAUGUGACUUCAACCCUCUUGAUCGAUGAGAGAAACAGCACUGAACUUCAAUUUUGGAUAUAACCCUGAACAAUGGUCAUCAAUCACAUGACAUGCAGCUCGCCACCAGA